AUACUCUGGUUUCUCUUCAGAUCGUAUAAAUCUUUCGCCUUUUACUAAAGAUUUUUGUGGAGAGGAACAGGCACGAGUGUUAUGAUGUUGAGAUUCUGGAGCGUGUUCAGAGAAGAGCC
rnacentral:snRNA from 1 species